AUGCCAAGGGAGACUUACCUAGUGCUGUGACAAAAAGAAAAAUAAACCUGACAACUUUCAUCUCUUCACUAUGAAACCAAAGUAUAUCUACAAGAAAACCAAGGCUUCCUUUUUUUUUCUAGCUGAGAGAAAACAGAUUGCAUUUCUUGUGGGAAGUUCUUAGAGGCACCCGCACGUUGUCAGCCACUUUCUGAAGUCACAAACAAGAUCAAACAACAUCCUGCGAAGCCCUGCAUAUAGUGAAAGAAAAACUACUCCUGUCUCUUGCAGGGAGAUCCCCAGGCAAAAGGAGAAACCUGGCCUGCCUCUCUUACUUCUUGUGACUUUGUGGCUCCUCCCAUCAAGAAAUCGAGUCUACUUCUUUACCCUUUGGAUCUGCGCUUGGCAGGAUGAGAACACCUGGACCCAGAGAAGUUACGCAAAGUGCUCAAGCUCACACAAAGUGUAAGUAGCAGAUCAAGAGAUCACGCCAGGGCAGUUAAUUCCGGACAAGUCAACACUGGCUAAGAGAAUGAGAUCACAUCGUGAAAAUGAGGCUGCUGAAACCCACCCCUGUGGUUAAGGAAGUCUGAUAAGGAAACCAUUAUGACUUUGGCAGAAACCCCAGUGGUACCUACCACAAUCACUACAGUCUGAUGCUGUGAUGCAGAGAUGAACAGCAAAAUGACUCCAGAAGAGUGAUGCAUUCUACCUACAACUCUUCCCUUGUAUCAUGUCUGAAAUGCAUGAAAUGCAUACGCACCAGCACAGAAUUUAAAACUGACCACUGAAAAUCUUACAGUGUUUCAGGCACUUUACUUGGCAAUGGAGAAAUCAGGAGUAUGACAGGACCUCUGAUCUUAAGGAAUCCAUUAUCUGUGAGAAUUGCCAAAGCCUCUGGAGUUGUUCAGGCCAAGAUACUCGUCCAUCUGGUUUGAGGACUCCAGCCCUGAAUGGAUGUCCCACUAUAAAGAGGAAAUCUCAGGCUGGUAUGCCAAUGGAAAAAAUGCUGACUCAGACAACACUGUGGAAUGCUGCUUGAUGAACUGGUGCCAGCUGAAGGUAGCAGGCAGCUUCCAUUAGCUAAAUAAAGAAUAAACAACCCUGAAGAGUUAGCUAUGAAUAUUAUGGAAAGAUAAGGCCUAAGGUAUUUCAGGUCUUUCAACACCCAGCAAGCCUAAGGAAAAUCUCUUUGGCUGAAAGUAAGGAUAUUCUCCACCCAACACAUACACGGCCUCUUACAUCCUCUCCUGGUCCCUCAUCUCAUGAAUUCCUAGAUUUUGUCAUGUACCAGCUGCUCUGAUGGCAACACCACUGAGCGUUGAUUUCAAAUGUAAACCAUAAAAAAAAAGAUAGAAAAUUAUAAAGAGUAAAAACAAGAAAAAUAUACAUUAAAAGCCUAUUCUCUUCCAGUCACUGUGUUUAAAGUUUAAACUUUCACAUGCAUUAUUAGGUUUAUUUAAUCUUCACAACAUUAGAAAGUAGCCCUGGAGGGAGGAGAGAAAAUGGCAGAAGAGUAAGACGCGGAGAUCACCUUCCUUCCCACAGAUACAGUAGAAAUACAUCUACACGUGGAACUGCUCCUACAGAACACCCACUGAACGCUGGCAGAAAACGUCCGACCUCCAAAAAGGCAAGAAACUCCCCCCGUACUUGGGUAGGGCAAAAGAAAAAAGAAAUAACAGAGACAAAAGAAUAGGGACGGCACCUGCACCAGUGGGAGGGAGCUGUGAAGGAGGAAAGGUUUCCACGCACUAGGAAGCCCCUUCGCGGACAGAGACUGCGGGUGGCAGAGGGGGGAAGCUUCGGAGCCACGGAGGAGAGCGCAGCCACAGAGGUGCGGAGGGCAAAGCGGAGAGGUUCCCGCACGGAGGAUCAGUGCCGACCAGCACUCACCAGCCCGAGAGGCUUGUCUGCUCAGCCGCCGGGGUGGGCGGGGCUGGGAGCUGAGGCUCGGGCUGCGGUCGGAUUGCAGGGAGAGGACUGGGGUUGGCGGCGUGAACACAGCCUGAAGGGGUUAGCGCACCACAGCUAGCCGGGAGGGAGUCCGGGGAAAAAGUCUGCAGCUGCCGAAGAGGCAAGAGACUUUUUCUUGCCUCUGUGUUUCCUGGUGCGCAAGGAGAGGGGAUUCAGAGCGCCGCCUAAACGAACUCCAGAGAAGGGCGCGAGCCGCGGCUAUCAGCGCGGACCCCACAGCAACAGGGUCGCAGAGGGAAAAACGGAGAGACUCCCGCACAGAGGCUCGGCGCCGAGUAGCGCUCACCAGCCCGAGAGGUUUGUCUGCUCACCCGCCGGGGCGGGCGGGGCUGGGAGCUGAGGCUCAGGCUUCGGUCGGAUCGCAGGGAGACGACUGGGGCUGGCGGCGUGAACACAGCCUGAAGGGGUUGGCGCACCACAGCUGGCUGGGAGGGAGACCGGGGAAACGUCUGCAGCUGCCGAAGAGGCAAGAGACUUUUUCUUGCCUCUUUGUUUCGCUGCGCGCAAGGAGAGGGGAUUCAGAGCGCCACUUAAACGAACUCCAGAGAAGGGCGUGAGCCGCGGCGAUCAGCGCGGAUCCCAGAGACGGGCGUGAGACGCUGGGGCUGCUGCUGCCGCCUCCAAAAAGCCUGUGUGCGAGCACAGGUCACUCUCCACACCGCCCCUCCCGGUAGCCUGUGCAGCCCGCCACUGCCAGGGUCCCGGGAUCCGGGGACAACAUCCCCGGGAGAACGCACUGCGCGCCUCAGGAUGCUGCAACGUCACGCCGGCCUCGGCCGCCGCAGGCUCGCCCCGCCUCCUCUGUACCCCUCCCUCCCCGCGGCCUGGGUGAGCCAGAGCCCCCGAAGCAGCUGCUCCUCUAACCCCGUCCUGUCUGGGCGGGGAACAGACGCCCUCAGGCGACCUACACACAGAGGCGGAUCCAAAUCCAAAGCUGAACCCCAGGAGCUGUGCGAACAGGGACAAGUAGGGGAAAUCUCUCCCAGCAGCCUCAGAAGCAGCGGAUUAAAGCUCCACAAACAACUUGAUGUGCCUGCACCUGUUGAAUACCUGAAUAGACAACGAAUCAGCCCAAAUUCAGGAGGUGGACUCUGGGAGCAGGAGAUAUUAAUUUUUCCCCUUUUCCUUUUUUUGUGAGUGUAUAUGUAUAUGCUUCUGGGUGAGAUUUUGUCUGUAUAGCUUUGCUUUACAAUAGCUUUAUUUUACUUCACUAUAUUAUAGCCUCUUUCUUUCUUUCUUUCUUUCUAUUUUUUCUCCUUUUUACUCUGAGCCGUGUGGACAAAAGGCUCUUGGUGCUCCAGCCAGGCAUCAGGGCCGUGCCUCUGAGGUGGGAGAGCCAACUUCAGAACACUGGUCCACAAGAGACCUCCCAGCCCCACGUAAUACCAAACGGCAAAAAUCUCCCAGAGAUCUCCAUCUCAACAUCAAGACCCAGCUUCACUCAACGACCAGCAAGCUACAGUGCUGGACACCCUAUGCCAAACAACUAGCUAGACAGGAACACAACCCCAUCCAUUAGCAGAGAGGCUGCCUAAAAUCAUAAUAAGGCCACAGCCACCCCAAAAUACACCACCAGACGUGGACGUGCCCACCAGAAAGACAAGAUCCAGCCUCAUCCACCAGAAUUCAGGCACUAGUUCCCUCCACCAGGAAGCCUACACAACCCACUGAACCAACCUUAGCAACUGGGGACAGAUACCAAAAACAACGGGAACUACGAACCUGCAGCCUGUGAAAAGGAGACCCCAAACACAGUAAGAUAAGCAAAAUGAGACGACAGAAAAACACACAGCAGAUGAAGGAGCAGGGUCAAAACAUACCGGACUUCACAAAUGAAGAGGAAAUAGGUAGUCUACCUGAAAAAGAAUUCAGAAUAAUGAUAGUAAGGAUGAUCCAAAAUCUUGGAAAUAGAAUAGACAAAAUGCAAGAAACAUUUAACAAGGAUGUAGAAGAACUAAAGAGGAACCAAGCAAUGAUGAAAAACACAAGAAAUGAAAUUAAAAAUACUCUAGAUGGGAUCAAUAGUAGAAUAACUGAGGCAGAAGAAAGGAUAAGUGACCUGGAAGAUAAAAUGGUGGAAAUAACUACUACAGAGCAGGAUAAAGAAAAAAGAAUGAAAAGAACUGAGGACAGUCUCAGGGACCUCUGGGACAACAUUAAACGCACCAACAUUCGAAUUAUAGGGGUCCCAGAAGAAGAAGAGAAAAAGAAAGGGACUGAGAAAAUAUUUGAAGAGAUUAUAGUUGAAAACUUCCCUAAUAUGGGAAAGGAAAUAGUUAAUCAAGUCCUGGAAGCACAGAGAGUCCCAUACAGAAUAAACCCAAGGAGAAACACGCCAAGACACAUAUUAAUCAAACUGUCAAAAAUUAAAUAUAAGGAAAACAUAUUAAAGGCAGCAAGGGAAAAAAAACAAAUAACACACAAGGGAAUCCCCAUAAGGUUAACAUCUGAUCUAUCAGCAGAAACUCUGCAAGCCAGAAGGGAGUGGCAGGAUAUACUUAAAGUGAUGAAGGAGAAAAACCUACAACCAAGAUUACUCUACCCAGCAAGGACCUCAUUCAGAUUCGAUGGAGAAAUUAAAACCUUUACAGACAAGCAAAAGCUGAGAGAGUUCAGCACCACCAAACCAGCUUUACAACAAAUGCUAAAGGAACUUCUCUAGGCAAGAAACACAAGAGAAGGAAAACACCUACAAUAACAAACGCAAAAUAUUUAAGAAAAUGGGAAUAGGAACAUACAUAUCGAUAAUUACCUUGAAUGUAAAUGGAUUAAAUGCUCCCACCAAAAGACACAGGCUGGCUUAAUGGAUACAAAAACAAGACCCAUAUAUAUGCUGUCUACAAGAGACCCACUUCAGACCUAGAGACACAUACAGAUUGAAAGUGAGGGGAUGGAAAAAGAUAUUCCAUGCAAAUGGAAAUCAAAAGAAAGCUGGAGUAGCAAUUCUCAUAUCAGAAAAAAUAGACUUUAAAAUAAAGACUAUUACAAGAGACAAAGAAGGACACUAUAUAAUGAUCAAGGGAUCGAUCCAAGAGGAAGGUAUAACAAUUGUAAAUAUUUAUGCACCCAACAUAGGAGCACCUCAAUACAUAAG